GGUUCGGUGGGCCACCAACUCCCCUAAAGAACCUGAGGAAAAGAACCUCCCACCCACCCUCCCCUCCCACAUCACCCGUACGAGUGACCGGCUUGCGGGUGCGGGAGGCGGGCGGUUACGUUCGCCGCAACAACCCCAAACAGACGACGGCCCCCGGCCGGGACUGGCAUCCCGAACGAGGGCCUGACCGAUCAGGAAGAAGCACCUUCCCG
rnacentral:ncRNA from 1 species